rnacentral:rRNA from 1 species
GAUGAACGCUAGCUACAGGCUUAACACAUGCAAGUCGAGGGACCGGCGCACGGGUGAGUAACACGUAUCCAACCGUCCCUUUACUCGGGGAUAGCCUUUCGAAAGAAAGAUUAAUACCCGAUAUAAAGGCUGGGGAUGCGUUACAUUAGGUUGUUGGUGAGGUAACGGCCAACCAAGCCUUCGAUGGAUAGGGGUUCGGAGAGGAAGGUCCCCCGAUAUGGAACUCGGGCUCGGUACAAACUCAUCAGGGAGGAAGCAGUGAAGAAUAUUGGUUAAUGGGCGCUAGCAUAAACCAGCCAAGUAGCGUGAAGAAUGAAGGCUUAUAGGUCGUAAACUUCUUUUAUAUAAGGAUAUGUAUUAGAUGAAUAAGGAUCGGCUAACUCCGUGCCAGCAGCCGCGGUAAUAC